GACGAACGCUGGCGGCGUGCUUAACACAUGCAAGUCGAGCGAUGAAGUUCCUUCGGGAAUGGAUUAGCGGCGGACGGGUGAGUAACACGUGGGUAACCUGCCUCAUAGAGGGGAAUAGCCUUUCGAAAGGAAGAUUAAUACCGCAUAAGAUUGUAGCAUCGCAUGAAGUAGCAGUUAAAGGAGUAAUCCGCUAUGAGAUGGACCCGCGUCGCAUUAGCUAGUUGGUGAGGUAACGGCUCACCAAGGCGACGAUGCGUAGCCGACCUGAGAGGGUGAUCGGCCACAUUGGGACUGAGACACGGCCCAGACUCCUACGGGAGGCAGCAGUGGGGAAUAUUGCACAAUGGGGGAAACCCUGAUGCAGCAACGCCGCGUGAGUGAUGACGGUCUUCGGAUUGUAAAGCUCUGUCUUCAGGGACGAUAAUGACGGUACCUGAGGAGGAAGCCACGGCUAACUACGUGCCAGCAGCCGCCGUAA
rnacentral:rRNA from 1 species